GUGUGUGUCCAGGAUGUAGGGAAAAUGGGUUUGGUGGGGACAGCACUUCCUGGAAUAACGUUGCUUUGGAUUUAACAACAGUUGGGCAAAGGAGGUCGGUAUACAGAUACAGGACAAGAAGAGUGGUGUCAAAGGGAGGCUAAAUCAUUGGUUCUGGCUUCAUCUAAGGAAUUCUUAUGAGAAAUCGAGGGAGAGACUGUCCUGGGAAGUCUGAUGAAACAUAAAUGGGGUUUUGCCAUGUCGCUUAGGCUGGUUUCAAACUCCUGGACUCAAGCGAUCUGCCCGCCGCAGCCUUCUAAAGUGCUGGGAUUACAGGUAGGAGCCACCACACCCAGUCAAAUCAGUGGCUGAUAAGUCAUUCAACUUACAACUUUCAAUUUAACCUUUUGUUGGCAGCUCUCAGAGGACUUUGUAAUUGAAAAGACAGAAUCAUAGAAACAGUAAUCAGGUUCUCAGCAGACUUUUCAAAAUACGUUUCCAAACAUCCCUGUGGAAUUAAGACCAACAUUAGACAAUCUACUGAUUUUCCAGCCUGCUGGUGUCUCUCUGUGCUCAGAUUUUGAAUAAAUGAAUGACUUCAGCUUUGUUUUUCAAUUAAUUGUUAUUUAAUUUAAGACAUCUUAAGAGAUGUACAUAAAAGUACUUUGUAUAAGACAAAGGUGAAGAUUGCCUUAGGCAUAUUUGAGAAGGUUUGUUCAAUAAAAACUUAAGAAAAUAAGUGAAUUAGAUGUUUCUGGACAUUUCUUUCAACCGCUGAUUUUGUUGUGGUUGUUGUUAACUUACCAAAAAGUUAUAGAACCUUUCUCUAGAACUCGUGGAUAAUACUAAGCAAUUGCUCUAAGAGUUAGCUAUGUAAGUAUGAAAUUCUUAGCCCCUACAUUUCCUUUUCAGCUGACUGGGACAGAUGAAAAGCAGCACCAGCCACAGAGUUGGCCUGCAGAUGAUGAAAACAGGUAUGAGGUCAGGCAUCUCCUCUUUCAUCCAGACCAUGGCAUUGAUUGCUCAGGGAAUCUCAUUUCUCCAACAUUUGCUGAAGCUAUUAAUACUUCCCCUAGUUUCCUUCCUGUCAGAGUGUUUGAAGAACACUUUGAGAAAUCAGAAAAAUAUUUGAGAGCAAAUAGUGUGAAAUGGUUCUCUUUGUUGUUAAUAACAAAUCAUAGGAGUCCCAUAUUCCCACAGAUCUACAAAUCAUGUGUCAAUAUCUAGUUUGUAAGUGUCUCCAUUUGUCCUCUAUCAUUCCAGAAGUCUUUUUCAUAUGAUGUCAGGGGAACUGAAAUGGAAUGUAAUAAAAUUUAAACCUGGGAUUUGCUGAAAAGAAACAGAGGUGGUAUUAGUCUUGUUUUUCUCAAACUUUUACCUCAUUUCUUUAAUAUAGCUCUUGCUGAGCAACUUGAAAAUUCUCCUAGAGAAUUGAGGCUUGGAUUUUUUGCAGCUGCCCUUGAGGUCAAUCUUUAAAUUGCAGUGUCUAUGGUGAAAGAGAAAAUUGAGUCACAGGAAGGAAUAAGUUAUGAAGAGAUUUUUGUCAAAAUAUUUCCCUUCCAAUAGGCAGAUAGAUAGUGCUACUCUUGACAGCAAAUUUCUUUUUGUUUUUUAUUAUUUUUAUU
rnacentral:lncRNA from 10 species